UACGUAGGGAGCAAGCGUUGUCCGGAUUUACUGGGCGUAAAGGGCGCGUAGGCGGUCUGCUUAGCGUGAAGUGAAAUCUCCAGGGCUCAACCCGGAAACCGCUUUGCGAACUGGCAGACUAGAGGAAGGCAGAGGUGAAUGGAAUUCCUGGUGUAGCGGUGACAUGCAUUGAUAUCAGGAGGAACACCCGUGGCGAAGGCGGUUCACUGGGCCUUAUCUGACGCUGAGGCGCGAAAGCGUGGGUAGCAAACAGG
rnacentral:rRNA from 1 species